GAUGAACGCUGGCGGCGUGCCUAACACAUUCAAGUCGAACGGGGCACAUUCUGAUGGUAACUGAGGAGUGUGUUCAGUGGCGGACGGGUGAGUAAUGCAUGAGCAACCUGCCUUUGAGAGUGGGAUAACACAGAGAAAUUUGUGCUAAUACCGCAUAGAACGUUAAGGAGGCAUCUCCAAAACGGGAAAGGAGCAAUCCGCUCAAAGAUGGGCUCAUGUCUGAUUAGAUAGUUGGUGAGGUAACGGCUCACCAAGUCUGCGAUCAGUAGCCGGACUGAGAGGUUGUACGGCCACAUUGGAACUGAGAAACGGUCCAGACUCCUACGGGAGGCAGCAGUGGGGAAUAUUGGGCAAUGGGCGAAAGCCUGACCCAGCGACGCCGCGUGAGGGAAGAAGGUCUUCGGAUUGUAAACCUCUGUUGACAGGGACGACAAAAGACGGUACCUGUCGAGGAAGCCACGGCUAACUACGUG
rnacentral:rRNA from 1 species